rnacentral:rRNA from 1 species
GAUGAACGCUGGCGGCGUGCUUAACACAUGCAAGUCGAACGAGGAUUUAACGGAAUGCGAUUCGUCAAAUGAAAUUAAAUCCGAGUGGCGGACGGGUGAGUAACGCGUGGAUAACCUGCCUCACACAGGGGGACAACAGUUGGAAACGACUGCUAAUACCGCAUAAGCCCACGACCUGGCAUCGGGUUGAGGGAAAAGGAGCAAUCCGCUUUGAGAUGGCCUCGCGUCCGAUUAGCUAGUUGGUGAGGUAACGGCCCACCAAGGCAACGAUCGGUAGCCGGACUGAGAGGUUGAACGGCCACAUUGGGACUGAGACACGGCCCAGACUCCUACGGGAGGCAGCAGUGGGGAAUAUUGCACAAUGGGGGAAACCCUGAUGCAGCGACGCCGCGUGGAGGAAGAAGGGUCUUCGGGAUUGGUAAAACUCCUGUUGUUGAGGAAGAUAAUGACGGUACUCAACAAGGAAGUG